UUUUUUUUUUUUUUUUUUUUUUUUCAAAUUAACUUUUACAGCCUUAUUUUACUAAAAAGAUGGGAGAUGG
rnacentral:ribozyme from 13 species